GAGUUUGAUCCUGGCUCAGAACGAACGCUGGCGGCGUGGAUAAGACAUGCAAGUCGAACGGAGUUACUUUUGUAGCAAUACAGAAGUAAUUCAGUGGCGAACGGGUGCGUAACACGUGGGCAAUCUACCGAAAAGUGGGGGAUAGCUCGCCGAAAGGCGAAUUAAUACCGCAUAUGGUCAGGGAAGACAUCUUUCUGAAUCCAAAGCCGGGGUCGAACCUGGCGCUUUUUGAGGAGCCCGCGGCCUAUCAGCUAGUUGGUGAGGUAACGGCCCACCAAGGCUUUGACGGGUAGCUGGUCUGAGAGGACGACCAGUCACACUGGAACUGAGACACGGUCCAGACACCUACGGGUGGCAGCAGUCGAGAAUUUUUCUCAAUGGGGGCAACCCUGAAGGAGCGACGCCGCGUGGAGGAUGAAGGCUUUCGGGUUGUAAACUCCUGUCAUUUGAGAACAAGGUGCGAGUGUUAACUGUACUCGCAUUGAUAGUAUCAGAAGAGGAAGGGACGGCUAACUCUGUGCCAGCAGCCGCGGUAAUACAGAGGUCCCAAGCGUUGUUCGGAUUCAUUGGGCGUAAAGGGUGCGUAGGUGGCGCCGUAAGUCGGGUGUGAAAUUUCGGAGCUUAACUCCGAAACUGCAUUCGAUACUGCGGUGCUUGAGGACUGGAGAGGAGACUGGAAUUCAUGGUGUAGCAGUGAAAUGCGUAGAGAUCAUGAGGAAGACCAGUGGCGAANGCGGGUCUCUGGACAGUUCCUGACACUGAGGCACGAANGCCAGGGGANCAAACNGGAUNANAUACCCCGGUAGUCCUGGCAGUAAACGGUGCACGUUUGGUGUGGAAGAUUCGACCCNUUCCCCCCNGANCUAACGCGUUAAACNUGCCNCCNGGGAGUACGUCNCAANAUUAAACUCAAANAANUNACGGGGCCCCCNAACNGUGGAAUNUGGGCUUAAUNCNANCAACNCNAAAACCUNACAGNCUUGAAUGCNUUNUAACNGGUGAAACCCUGANUUCNAAAAAAAAUUGCA
rnacentral:rRNA from 1 species